GACAGAGGAUGCAAGCGUUAUCCGGAAUGAUUGGGCGUAAAGCGUCUGUAGGUGGCUUUUCAAGUCCGCCGUCAAAUCCCAGGGCUCAACCCUGGACAGGCGGUGGAAACUACCAAGCUGGAGUACGGUAGGGGCAGAGGGAAUUUCCGGUGGAGCGGUGAAAUGCAUUGAGAUCGGAAAGAACACCAAUGGCGAAGGCAGCUCGCUGGGACGGUACUGACGCUGAGACGCGAAAGCGUGGGGAGCAAACAGG
rnacentral:rRNA from 1 species